rnacentral:rRNA from 1 species
UUAAACUGAAGAGUUUGAUCAUGGCUCAGAUUGAACGCUGGCGGCAGGCUUAACACAUGCAAGUCGAACGGUAACGGGUUGAAAGCUUGCUUUCAAUGCUGACGAGUGGCGGACGGGUGAGUAAUGCUUGGGAAUCUGGCUUAUGGAGGGGGAUAACCAUUGGAAACGAUGGCUAAUACCGCGUAUUAUCGGGAGAUGAAAGGGGGCGAAAGCACCUGCCAUAAGAUGAGCCCAAGUGGGAUUAGGUAGUUGGUGAGGUAAAGGCUCACCAAGCCUGCGAUCUCUAGCUGGUCUGAGAGGAUGGCCAGCCACACUGGGACUGAGACACGGCCCAGACUCCUACGGGAGGCAGCAGUGGGGAAUAUUGCGCAAUGGGGGGAACCCUGACGCAGCCAUGCCGCGUGAAUGAAGAAGGCCUUCGGGUUGUAAAGUUCUUUCGGUGGUGAGGAAGGUUGUGAUGUGAAUAGCAUCAUGAUUUGACGUUAGCCACAGAAGAAGCACCGGCUAACUCCGUGCCAGCAGCCGCGGUAAUACGGAGGGUGCGAGCGUUAAUCGGAAUAACUGGGCGUAAAGGGCACGCAGGCGGUAAAUUAAGUGAGAUGUGAAAUCCCCGAGCUUAACUUGGGAAUUGCAUUUCAGACUGGUUUACUAGAGUACUUUAGGGAGGGGUAGAAUUCCACGUGUAGCGGUGAAAUGCGUAGAGAUGUGGAGGAAUACCG